rnacentral:rRNA from 1 species
CCAGACUCCUACGGGAGGCAGCAGUGGGGAAUAUUGCACAAUGGGCGAAAGCCUGAUGCAGCAACGCCGCGUGAAGGAAGAAGGGUUUCGGCUCGUAAAUUUCUAUCAACAGGGACGAAAGAAAUGACGGUACCUGAAUAAGAAGCCCCGGCUAACUACGUGCCAGCAGCCGCGGUCAUACGUAGGAUCCGAGCAUUAUCCGGAUUCAUUGGGUUUAAAGGGUGCGUAGGUUGUUUUAUAAGUUAGCGGUGAAAUACCGAUGCUCAACAUCGGGGCUGCCGCUAAUACUGUAGGACUAGAGAUCGGAUGCAGCAGGCGGAAUGUGUAGUGUAGCGGUGAAAUGCAUAGAUAUUACACAGAACACCGAUUGCGAAGGCAGCUUGCUAGGCCGGAUCUGACACUGAUGCACGAAAGCGUGGGGAUCGAACAGGAUUAGAUACCCCCGUACAG